ensembl:piRNA 21ur-13517 ncRNA
UAUCCUAGAAUGACAAAUCAA